rnacentral:misc_RNA from 1 species
GCAAACUUGGUCAUUUAGAGGAAGUAAAAGUCGUAACAAGGUUUCCGUAGGUGAACCUGCGGAAGGAUCAUCAAUAGUCUCAAUAUUGUCUUGUCCGGGAUUCUCACCCAUUUGGGCGUCUACCGGCUUGGCAAAAUACCUCCUUGUGCACUGUCUGUUGGUUGUAAGACUGACUGGGGGAUUGUUGGGGUAUGCUUCGGUGUGCUUUGCGCCCCCGGCCGGUCGUUUGUUCUAUACAAACACUGUUAACAUUACUGUGUCUUAGGAUAUCUAGUUGGAAAAGUUGUUAAAACAUACAUACAACUUACAGCGAUGGAUCUCUAGGCUCUGGUGUCGAUGAAGAACGCAGC